ACACUGUGGGUCAAUGCUCCCUCUCAGGUUGUUUGCCAGCAGCUAAGGGAAGGUCUAGGUCCUUUCUUCCAGAGCUUCUGUUCAGGGCAGAUUGUGAUGAAGGGAACCACUUUGGUGACUGAUGGGGCUUAAGAUCUCUCUGCAAGGCUACUUUCAAGUGAAUUUACAAACCAAGGGUGCAAAAUACAGCAGGAAUCCAGAACAUAAAAGGGAAAAAAUGAGCUAUAGGAAGAAAGAAAGGCACUUUGGCUUCAGGAGAUGUACAGCAAUAGAAAUGAGUCAACAGGAGUGAUCAUCAUCCAAGAGAUCAUCAUCUCUUCCUCAUCCUCCCCCUUUUUCUCCUUAUCCUCAUUCUCUUAUCUUCAUUAUCAUUAUGAUCACUGGCUCAUACUGAGAUGCAUGAAAAGGAGAGAAGGAAGGAAAGAAGGAAGGUGCAAGAGAGGAGAGUCUCCUGAAUUGUCCCUGGAUCUGAAUACCAUCCUAGGUGCCGGUCCAUUAACUUCCAAGAGAAUCCCAUGAGUAUAUAGUAUGGUUUCAAAAGAAUGGAAGCUAGAAUAACACAAAUGUGAACUCUAGUCCCAAUUCUUCUAAUUCCUGGGUUGUUGAUCCCAAACACAUUAUAUAAAGUUAUCUGUUCUU
rnacentral:lncRNA from 1 species